rnacentral:rRNA from 1 species
ACUCAAAUGAAUUGACGGGGGCCCGCACAAGCAGUGGAGCAUGUGGUUUAAUUCGAUGCUACGCGAAAAACCUUACCAGGGUUUGACAUCCCAGUGUAAGCCCCUAGAAAUAGGGGCCCCCUUCGGGCACUGGUGACAGGUGGUGCAUGGUUGUCGUCAGCUCGUGCCGUGAGGUGUUGGAUUAAGUUCCGCAACGAGCGCAACCCUCGUUGCUAGUUGCCAGCAUUCAGUUGGGCACUCUAGCGAGACUGCCGGCGUCAAGCCGGAGGAAGGUGGGGAUGACGUCAAAUCAUCAUGCCCCUUACACUCUGGGCUACACACGUGCUACAAUGGGCAGUACAACGGGUUGCCACACCGCGAGGUGGAGCGAAUCCUUCAAAGCUGCUCUCAGUUCGGAUUGCAGGCUGCAACUCGCCUGCAUGAAGCUGGAAUUGCUAGUAACCGUGGAUCAGCAUGCCGCGGUGAAUACGUACUCGGGCCUUGUACACACCGCCCGU